rnacentral:lncRNA from 1 species
UCUUAAUGUACUUGCUACGGGAAGGCUAGCUAGAAUCUCAAAAGAGGAAGAUUUCUGGGAGCAGAAAAGAGGGGUUGAUGUGUGUACAUGGACCCGCCCAACAUGUUUUGGAAGUCACUGAGAAGGCUUCUGUCUCUUUCUUUUCAGGAGAAACUGCCAACUUUUCAAACACACUCUGCAUCCAACAUGGGGCCAAGUACUUAAGCAGGUCUGGCUGACUGAGUUGCUUUUGAAGACAAUCUAGGCAGACUGCUCACCAGGAGAGCUCAGAAAUGCUGAGCAAGGUCCUCUCACCUCAGGAAGGCCUACAGUGUAGACCAGAAGGAAGCCAAGUAUAUGGAUAAUUACUGACAUACAGCAGGUACUCAUUAAAUAUUAGCCUGAACAUGGGCCGACCUAAUUCUGAUUCUAAUGAAUAGAAUAUGACAAAAGCAAUGAGAUGUCACUUUGGAGAUGAAGACACAAAAAAACUAUGGCUUCCAUCUUGAGCACACCCUGUUGCUCUCUGACUUACUGAGGGAAGGCAGGUGCACCUGUUAAGGAGCUGAUAUCUUCAGCCCACCACCAGGGAUGACAAUCAUGUGAGUGAACUUGAAACAGAUCCUCCCCAGGCAAGCCUGGAGAUGACCACAACCCAACUGACAUCUUGAUUACAGCCUCACAGAGACCCCAAGCCUGAGGCAUCAGACUAAGACACACCCAAAUGCCCAACCUACAGGAACUGAGAUAAGAAAUGGUUGUUAUUCAGUGGAGGGAAAAGCAUUUGCCCAAGCAAGAGCUGCAAACAAGGGCCUCUGUCAGUUUGCUCCUCGAAAGAGGAUGCAUGUGGAAAGACACCUGCAUUUGGCUACACUAUUUGAUUGAAGUUAAAAAUCAUUCUUCUUCAAGAUCCAUCCAUUUUCAUCAACCAAUCAAACUGGUAGGUUAGGUGUAUCUUUAAAUCUCUGAUGGUGACACUUAUUAUAGCUAGACUCCAAGGGACUGAUAGAACUUCUAUUUUCCUAUUUGGACUGGGGGAAGGGGAGGAGAAUAAAGCUCUAUGGGUAUAAAUUCAGGUUAAAAUUUCUUUAAUCACUUCAUCCCAAUAAGCUCUGCUCUAACCCAUAAAAUAAUGUGGUCCUCUGAAUCCGUGGGAGUUAGCAUAGCUACCCAACUGUCAAUCUCAGAGGAUUAAGACUUCCUUUUUUUUUUAAAUCUAUAAAGGACCAGUACCUAUUCCCAGAAGGGAAAGUUAAGGAGUUAGGAGUCACAAGCACAUUCCUAUGAUGCUACCUCUGAGUUCUUUCUGGAGGUUUCUGGCUUUUCCUUUCACUUAGGAGAUUCUGCAUUUGUCAACAGACUGGGCUUUUGGAAUUUAGUGAGGGGUUAUAAAUGAAAGGAUCAAGUGAGAUGUCUGUUUUGUUAGGCUUCAAUUUGGGGUUAUUUUUUGCUUGUUUGUUUAACUGUAUAAAUCACAUAAGAAUUUAGCAGCUUUCGUCUUGUGAACUAUCAAAAAGGAAAUGGUGAAUGAAGCAACAUGUAUAUUUUUACGGUGGAAUUCUAGUUUAAAAGAAUGAAUUUUAACUCUGUAUACUCUGUGAUCUGUACUAACAGAAAACUUUCUAAAGCAUAGUAUUCAAUGGGAAUAAAAACAGUGCAGGAUGGGCUGGGGUUGUGGCUCAGAGGUAGAAUGCUUGACUAUCAUGAGUGAGGCACUGGGUUUGAUCCUCAGCACCACAUAAAAUAAAGGUAUUGUGUCCACCUAUAACCAAAAUAAAUAAAUAAACAUUUAAAAAACAAUAAUACAGGAAAACAUAUAUUUGUAUUUAUGUAAAAUCAUAGUACAGUUAUAUCUAUACAUGAAAUCACCAGAAAUUAUUUGGGAAAGAAACACAGCAAGAUGAAAACAAUGUUUGUUUCCAGGAAGAGAAAUGGGAAUGGGGAGAACAGGAAAUUCCAAAAGGAGAAUUUUACUUUUUACUCUUAAGUAUUUUUUUAAAAAUAUUUAUUUCUUAGUUGUACACAAUACCUUUUUUUUGUUUAUUUAUUUUUAUGUGGUGCUGAGGAUCGAACCCGGGGCCUAGCAUGUGCUAGGCGAGCGCUCUACCGCUGAGCCACAACCCCAGCCCCACUCAAGUAUUUUUAUUAUCCCAUGAGUUUUU